UCGUGACGCCGAUGGCGGCGGCUGCGCUGCGGCUCCGCCCGUGGCAGUUGCCGGAACUGGCUGGGCGGGGGGAGCGCCCGUGAGCGGCCAGCGCUUCCGGCCGCCGCGCGGAGCCCGGGGCUGCCCGCUGUUUGCAGAAAGAAGAAAGAUGGAAAGUAAUGCAGUUUUGCUAGAAUCAAAGUCCUCACCGAUAAAUCUUCUGAACGAAAUGCAUCAGUUGCGUCUUCUGGGCCACCUUUGUGAUGUGACGGUUAGUGUGGAGUAUCAAGGUGUUAGGGGAGAAUUUGUUGCUCACAAAGCUGUAUUGGCAGCAACAAGCAAGUUCUUCAAGGAGGUGUUUCUUAAUGAGAAGAGCAUGGAUAGCUCAAGGACAAACGUGUUCUUGAACGAGGUCCAGGUAGCUGAUUUUGCUUCAUUUCUUGAGUUUGUCUAUACUGCCAAGGUAGAAGUAGAGGAAGACCGAGUGCAACGUAUGCUGGAAAUAGCUGAAAAGCUUAAGUGCUUGGACCUGUCUGAAACCUGUUUUCAGCUGAAGAAGCAGAUGCUUGAAUCCGUAUUGUUGGAGUUGCAAAAUUUCUCUGAAUCGCAAGAUGCUGAGGAGGACAGUGGUACCCAAUCAAAUGCUUUACUUGAGUUGAAGACAACUGUUGUGGCAGAAGGUGACCAUACAGACUGUCUUCCUGAUUCUCCCAGUUCCCCCAUGGAAAGACCCAGCAAUGGAGUGUCCCCUGAGAGGCCAACUGCCAAAUCAAAAGAGAAGGUUGACAAGAAGAAAGAAACCAUGAAGCCUCCCUAUGCCAAAAUCAGAAGGGCCAGUGGGAGGCUGGCUGGGAGGAAAGUAUUUGUAGAAAUCCCCAAAAAGAAGUACACAAGGCGAUUGAGAGAGCAACAGAAGAAUGCCGAGGAUGCUACUGAAGAGAACAAGUUCCCAAAAGACCAAAUCAUGUAUGAUGUGGAGAAGGAAGAGGGGCAAGUGGAGAACAGUGUGAAGCCUGAGAAUGAAGAGUGCAAUGGCAACUUUGAAUUAGAAGACAACUUUAAAAAGUCAGAGGAGGAUAAGAAGAAACGAGGCGGCAACUUCAAAUGCAGCACCUGCAAGAAGGAAUUCUUGUAUGAGAGGAGCUUCCUCAAGCACAUAAAGCACAGUCAUGGCAUUGCGGCUGAAAUCAUUUACCGGUGCGAAACCUGCAGUCAGACCUUUGCCAACCGGUGCAAUUUAAAAAGCCACCAACGCCACGUCCACACCAGUGAGCGCCACUUCCCUUGUGAACUCUGUGGUAAGAAGUUCAAGAGGAAGAAGGACGUCAAGAGGCACAUUCUUCAGGUUCAUGAGGGUGGUGGGGAGCGUCAUCAGUGCCAACAGUGUGGAAAGGGUUUGAGCUCCAAAACUGCUUUGAGGCUUCAUGAAAGGACGCAUACAGGCGACAAGCCUUAUGGGUGCACAGAGUGUGAGGCUAAAUUUUCUCAGCCUUCUGCACUUAAAACACACAUGAGAAUCCACACUGGUGAAAAACCAUUUGUCUGUGAUGAAUGUGGUGCAAGAUUCACACAGAAUCACAUGCUUAUAUAUCAUAAAAGGUGUCACACAGGGGAAAGGCCUUUUAUGUGUGAAACAUGUGGGAAGAGCUUUGCCUCUAAGGAGUACUUGAAACACCAUAAUAGAAUACAUACCGGAUCCAAGCCAUUUAAAUGUGAAGUUUGCUUCAGAACAUUUGCACAGAGGAAUUCGCUUUACCAGCAUAUUAAAGUUCACACGGGUGAACGGCCCUAUUGUUGUGAUCAGUGUGGUAAGCAGUUCACACAGCUCAACGCAUUGCAGCGCCAUCAUCGGAUACACACGGGGGAGAAACCGUUCAUGUGCAAUGCGUGCGGGCGAACGUUCACGGAUAAAUCCACCUUGCGGCGGCACACUUCAAUACAUGAUAAGAAUACACCCUGGAAGUCUUUCCUGGUUAUUGUUGAAGGAGUGUCUAAGAACGAUGAAGGUCACAAGACAGAGCUUCCUGAUGAAGAGUAUCAUGUGUCACCUAAAAUAACAGAGAAGUUGCUGUCUUUUUCUGAAAAUGGCCACUAUCAAAACUUGACUGCUGUCCCAGGGAGUGUGACUGCACUGCAUGAAAACAGUUCUUCUAUCGGGACAGACUGCAAAUCGGAUGGGACUGUGGGACCCCAAGAAGCCCUCCUAGCUACCACCUUAAGUGAACUUACGGUACUACAUACACAGACAGAUGCUAUUCAGCCACAGCUCCAUGCUCUGGUGAAUAUGGAAUAAUUUGGUAUUGUUCACCAACCCAGCCUAGGCCAUACCUCUAAUAACUUCUGACUUUGCCAGUAACCUAGUGAUGUAAUUAGGAGAAAGCAUAGCCCCUAAAGGAAGAGGGACUAGUCGUGGAUGACAUUCAUGGCAUUUAUCUCCUCCUCACCCUUAAAACACCACCAAUCUGUAAUCUUCAAUUUGCAUAGUCUAGCGGUAGCUCCUUUUCCCGGCUGAUAGUUGUUGUUCUACUUUAUUCAUUUCUUGAUUUUUCUGUACCCUCUGUUAUGAAUGUGUGAAAUACUACAGUCACUUCAGAGAGCAGUUAACCUCAAGCAGAGCAUAUGAAGACCUGCCAUUGUUUUAAUCUCUGGAAAUCUGACUAUGCAGUCUCCUCUUCGCUACCCUUCCUGCAAAGGAUUAUACCAAUAUUGAAACACUGCAACCACCCCGAAUGAACUCUGAUUAAGAUCUCGAUCUUGCAAAACUGGACUACUGACUAUAGCUCUUACUACUGUAUGUAAUCCCACUGAAAUCAAAGCUUUGCAGACACCCUAGAGAAGAAAAGAACGAAGAGGAGAAAGGCCAGCAGGAAAAGGAAAGGGAGAUGCCCCAGGACUAAUGGGGCUUCUCCGCAGCAAACACAGAUGCUGCAGACUCUUGUGGACCUACAGGUUCAACAAUCCUAGGCUCACCUCCCUUUGCAGUCCAUGCAGAACUCCACUGCAGCAUCCACCCUCAACAUUCCACAUGGCAUCAAGGGCCACCGCCCUACCCCUCUACCACUCCAUCCCAGGAGACAUUACGGAAAACCACAGCUUCACAUACACUGACCUGAGACCACCACAGUAGCUGUAUGUGUAGCUAAAAUGGUCAUAAAUGUUCUUUCCUCUUGAAAAGUGCUAUUCUAUUAAUUCAUGACGUUUUUAAUGUCUUUGCUUUUAAAUUGCACAGAUUUUUCUUUUCACUGGUUUUGUUACU